rnacentral:rRNA from 1 species
CCUACGGGAGGCAGCAGUGGGGAAUAUUGCACAAUGGGGGAAACCCUGAUGCAGCGACGCCGCGUGGGUGAAGAAGUAUUUCGGUAUGUAAAGCCCUAUCAGCAGGGAAGAAGAAUGACGGUACCUGACUAAGAAGCACCGGCUAAAUACGUGCCAGCAGCCGCGGUAAUACGUAUGGUGCAAGCGUUAUCCGGAUUUACUGGGUGUAAAGGGAGCGCAGGCGGCACGCUAAGCCUGAUGUGAAAACCCGCGGCCCAACCGCGGGAGUGCAUUGGGAACUGGCGAGCUAGAGUACCGGAGGGGCG